rnacentral:rRNA from 1 species
AUUGAACGCUGGCGGCAGGCCUAACACAUGCACGUCGAGCGAGCGGCGGACGGGUGAGUAAUGUAUGGGGACUGCCCGAUAGAGGGGGAUAACUACUGGAACAGGUGGCUAAUAACGCAUACUAUCGGAUAACACAUAGGGGAUUAGCUAGUAGGGGGGGUAAAGGCUCACAUAGGCGACGAUCUCUCACUGUGCUGCGAGGAUGAUCAGCCACACGGGGACUGAGACACGGCCCAGACUCCUACGGAGGCAGCAGUGGUGAAUAUUGCACAAUGGGCGCAAGCCUGAUGCAGCCAUGGCGCGUGUAUGAAGAAGGCCUUAGGGUUGUAAAGUACUUUCAGCGGGGAGGCGUUACCCGCAGAAGAAGUCCCGGCUAACUCCGUGCCAGCAGCCGCGGUAAUUC